rnacentral:rRNA from 1 species
GGCGAACGCUGGCGGCGUGCUUAACACAUGCAAGUCGAACGGAAAGGCCUCUUUCGGGGGGUACUCGAGUGGCGAACGGGUGAGUAACACGUGAGUAACCUGCCCUUGACUUUGGGAUAACUUCAGGAAACUGGGGCUAAUACCGGAUAGGAGCUCCUGCUGCAUGGUGGGGGUUGGAAAGUUUCGGCGGUUGGGGAUGGACUCGCGGCUUAUCAGCUUGUUGGUGGGGUAGUGGCUUACCAAGGCUUUGACGGGUAGCCGGCCUGAGAGGGUGACCGGCCACAUUGGGACUGAGAUACGGCCCAGACUCCUACGGGAGGCAGCAGUGGGGAAUAUUGCACAAUGGGUGGAAGCCUGAUGCAGCAACGCCGUGUGCGGGAUGACGGCCUUCGGGUUGUAAACCGCUUUCGCUCAUGACGAAGCUUUGUGUGACGGUAGUGGGUAAAGAAGCACCGGCUAACUACGUG